UCCUUCGUAGCUCAGUUGGUAAAGAAUCUGCCUGCAAUGCAGGAGACCCUGGUUUGAUUCCUGGGUCAGGAA
rnacentral:tRNA from 1 species